UGACUUCGAGAUCUGACGAGACUGGGU
rnacentral:rRNA from 1 species